CGUAAUUUUGGUUCGUGAUUAGUGGCUCCCAUUCGUAAUCUACCGUGGCUCUAUCAUUUUAUUCUACCCUUUGUAGAUCUAUUAUCUAUGAUUUUAUUCAACAAUUGUAUUCUACUGGAAGAUGUGGAAAACUGACCGCAGACGUUUGUUGUAAUGAUAAUAAACAAAGAAUAUAAUAUCAACUUGCAAUUAAAAUGGUGCGCCAUAAAAAUAGGUACAUCAUAUUCCAAAUUAAUGAGCAAAAUACUAAAGAAGAACAUAAUAAAUUGAAUCUGAACAACAGUACCUUGUAUAAUGCUAUUUUAGAAAGAUUACAACAGCUUCAUGGUGAUUUUGGUGUUGCAGCAUGUAAAACUGGAUUUGUAGCAAAAUAUUGCAAUAAGGAAACUCGAGUUGGUAUAAUCCGUGUAAGGCAUGGACCUCACAAAUUAAUCACUAGUACGUUACCAUUAAUAAGUGAAAUUGAAAAGAAGAAAGCAAACAUCACCAUUUUAUAUAUAGGAGCAACAAUGCAAAAGUGUUUCCAAUUUCUUAAAAAGUAUCAAGAACAAAAGGUUGAACAGUUUUGUGUGAAUUUAAAAACCAUUGAGGAAAAAGAAAAUAUGAAGAAAAUGCUGAUGAACCUUAGUAGUAUUGAAAACAUGAUGUCUUAAUUUGAUAAUUGACUUCAGCACUUUGUAAAUGUCAAAUAAUGAAGAAAUAUUCGACAUUGGACAUUGAAAACAAAGCCUAAACCUUGCAAGAAAUACACCCAUCAUCAAAUGUGAGUGUUCUUAAUAGAUUUGAUGUUAAAAAAGUUGGAUAUCACACCACUAAAGGUUGUGCAAAAAUGUCUUAGAGCCAAUUUAAAUUGUUCUGGUCUGUCUGAGAUAUAUUGCUCAAUAUAAUCUUUAAUAAAUAUAACAUAAUGAACUACUCUAA
rnacentral:sRNA from 1 species